rnacentral:lncRNA from 1 species
GUAUUCAUUCUGUUUAUUGGAUUGAAAGGGAAUACAAAUGACUGGUGAAGUGCUAUGCACUGACAUGGAAAAGAUGUAUUUAAAAAAAAAAAUCCCAGUAAAGCAAAUCGAAGUUAAUGUAGUUUCAACUGAACAAAAAUUUAGACAUUUAAUAUACUACACAUUUAUAAAAGUUAACAAAGGGUGUUCUGUAAAUAAUUAGUAGAACAAGUGAAAAUAAAUAUAUCAGAGACCUGAAGUUUUUUAUGCUUUAAUGAAAUAAUAAAGCAAAGAAGUUUAAACUACUAAAUAUAAUCUGAGAGGCAGUUUAAAAAAACAAAAAGCCCCCAAAAUUUAAGAACACAAUCCUCUGAAACAUUUAAUCAGUCCAUAGCAAAUAGUUAUUACAUACCAAAAGCUCUAAGUGUUACCUAGUUCCACCACAAUGCCAUGUAAAUCUUGACAAUUUAGAAAUCUUGAGAUCACACUUAAGUUCUUUUCUUGAUCUCUACAGCUUGGUUUGUAAGUACACACGUUUUUGUGGAUCUAUUCCCCUCACCACACAUACCCAUUUUCAAGGAGCCAAUAACAUUUUUUCCAUCUGUGCCUAAAAAUGUUCCAAUUCGGUUUUUAGCACAUUGACCCUGAUGAUGAAAAUAAAAAUGUCUUCUUUCCUCCCCAUUCAAAAGUAGCCAUUCUUCUGCUUUGAAAGAAACUGACAUGGAUAUUUCCCUUUCAAGAGAUGUACGAUAUAUUUACCACCGUGAGCAGAGGUGAUAGGGUCAGUUCUUGGGUGCAGGAACCAACAUCCUAAAAAAGAAAAUUUCAAGAUGGGGAGGGGUGGGAAAAAAGGGUUUUCUAUUAAUGUCACGAAAUGCCACUCUAGAGGGACAACACUCCUAAUAAUAAAAAUCACCAUAUUACUACUAGUGUGAUUUCGGAUUAAGAAAAUAUUGACAAAAACUGAUUUUUUUCCACUAGCAAGUUAUUUAAAUUAUUUUUUAAAGUUAGGUAAUCCCUUUUUGUUCUCCCACCCACUAAAAUGGGCCAAUUUGUAGGGACAUUUGCAAAUAAAAAUUUCUGCCUUUAAACUACUUACCUGGUUAAAUAUAACACAUUUACCUGGCCAAUAAGAGUAACAGAAAUGUAGCUAGCAAGAACACUGACAAAAUAGAUACCAAAACUGAAACCUUGUCAUCCCUCCCAGCUAACUCCCCACUCUAAUUCACCACCCACAUAGCAAUCGUAGGAUCCCCAAAUCCAACAAUGUAUCAUUAAUAACCGAUUGUUUGGAGGAAAAAGACAUUUCAUACUUGCUCUAGCCCUUAAUCAAUGAGUAAUAGCAACAAAAACAUUUUUAAGCACAUGGAAAUGAGCCUACUAACCUGAUUUUUGGAGCCAAAAUUCUCCAUUCUAAUUUGAGCUACACGUGCAAAAAGUAUUGGUACUUUUCAAUUUACGCAUUCGUUAGUAUCUUGCAGCUGGCUUGAUAGUAUCCUUUCACUCCUGUAUAUUCUCCCCUUAAGCCUAGAUAGAGACUACAGUGUUAUCAGAAGUUUUAAUAGCUAUGGGUUAGACCAUCCUGCUAUUAGGUUCUUUGUACCAUAACAUCCUAAGUUUCUUCACUUAAUUCACCUUUCUGGCACAGUCGCUGCACGGAAAAUGCAUGAAAUAGACGUUUACAGCAAAUUGGCACAGCAAAGUACCAGUAUAUAUAGGAAGCUGCCGGUUAUGACAGACUUGGAAAACAAGCUCACCUUGCUGCUAUAGAAACCUUUGCAUAGUUAUCACUCCGUUUUAAUGGAGUUAUGUUCUUGUAAAAUGUGCCUCACUUUUACUCCACUUUUUUCAAGUGUUUAUAACUGUACUUGAGAAGCACUCUGAAAACUCAGAUCUAGGGGUGGCUGGGUCGAGUAGAGUAGACUCUGAGUGCCAUACUGCCCCGGAGUGGGCACAAGUCUCAGUGAAUGGUACAAAUGUACCACAGCACACUGUAACCAAAUUUGUAUAAAAGGCUGUGGAGUUUCUAUGCCCACAUUUUGAUAGUGACGUUACUCUGCAGAUUGGGGUGCAUUAAUGGCUUCAGGGUAUACAUGAGUCACUUAAAAUGCGCAUGGACUUAACUGUACUGAGGUAAAGAGAAGUUGCCACUUAAUUAUAUACAGUUACCAAUGAAAAUUUUAUUCAAGCUUAAAGUAAAAAGUAAUUUUAGUUAAGAAAAAUGAAGUACCAGAUAAACUGUAACAUAUAGUUAUUUUAACUUAGAAGUAUCAAAACAGGAAUUCUUGAUUCUCUAAGUG